rnacentral:tRNA from 1 species
GAGGGACUAGCUCAGGUAGAGUGUGUGCUUAGCAUGCACAAGGUCCUGGGUUUAAUCCCCAGUACCUCC